rnacentral:rRNA from 1 species
UCUGAGAUGUGAUGCCGAGCCGAUUGUGGCGAAGUGGGUGAUCCUAUGCUGCCGAGAAAAGCCUCUAGCGAGGAGCAUGGCGGCCCGUACCCGAAACCGACUCAGGUGGUCAGGUAGAGAAUACCAAGGCGAUCGGGUGAACUGUGGUUAAGGAACUCGGCAAAUUGCCCCCGUAACUUCGGGAGAAGGGGGGCCUUUCCUGGUGAUGGGAUUUACUCCUUGAGCUGGGGGAGGCCGCAGUGGCCAGGGGGAAGCGACUGUUUACUAAAAACACAGGUCCGUGCGAAGUCGUAAGACGAUGUAUACGGACUGACGCCUGCCCGGUGCUGGAACGUUAAGGGGACCGGUUAGCCGCUUUCGGGUGGCGACGCUGAGAACUUAAGCGCCAGUAAACGGCGGUGGUAACUAUAACCAUCCUAAGGUAGCGAAAUUCCUUGUCGGGUAAGUUCCGACCUGCACGAAUGGCGUAACGACUUCCCCGCUGUCUCAACCGCAGACCCGGCGAAAUUGCACUACGAGUAAAGAUGCUCGUUACGCGCAGCAGGACGGAAAGACCCCGGGACCUUCACUACAGCUUGACAUUGGCGUUUGGAGCGUCUUGUGUAGGAUAGGUGGGAGACUGGGAAGCUCGGACGCUAGUUCGGGUGGAGUCAUUGGUGAAAUACCACUCUGGUCGUUUUGAACGUCUAACUUCGGUCCGUGAUCCGGAUCAGGGACAGUGUCUGGUGGGUAGUUUAACUGGGGCGGUUGCCUCCUAAAGGGUAACGGAGGCGCCCAAAGGUUCCCUCAGCCUGGUUGGCAAUCAGGUGUCGAGUGUAAGUGCACAAGGGAGCUUGACUGUGAGACCGACGGGUCGAGCAGGAGCGAAAGCUGGGACUAGUGAUCCGGCGGUGGCAUGUGGAAGCGCCGUCGCUCAACGGCUAAAAGGUACCCCGGGGAUAACAGGCUGAUCUUCCCCAAGAGUCCAUAUCGACGGGAUGGUUUGGCACCUCGAUGUCGGCUCGUCGCAUCCUGGGGCUGGAGUAGGUCCCAAGGGUUGGGCUGUUCGCCCAUUAAAGCGGUACGCGAGCUGGGUUUAGAACGUCGCGAGACAGUUCGGUCCCUAUCCGCUGCGCGCGCAGGAGACUUGAAAGGGGCUGUCCCUAGUACGAGAGGACCGGGACGGACGAACCUCUGGUGUGCCAGUUGUUCCGCCAGGAGCACGGCUGGUUGGCUACGUUCGGAAGGGAUAACCGCUGAAAGCAUCUAAGCGGGAAGCUCGCCUUGAGAUGAGGUCUCCCACCACGAGAGUGGGUAAGGCUCCCGGUAGACGACCGGGUUGAUAGGCCGGAGGUGGAAGCGCAGUAAUGUGUGGAGCUGACCGGUACUAAUAGGCCGAGGACUUGACCAU